GCAACAGCUCAAAUUUGAAAUCUGACCUUCUCUGAGGGUCCGAGUUGUAAUUUGCAGAGGGUGCUUUGGUGUUGUCGGCGGUCUAAGUUCCUUGGAACAGGACAUCACAGAGGGUGAGAAUCCCGUUUGUGGUCGCCAGCCUUCGCCGUGUAAAGCCCCUUCGACGAGUCGAGUUGUUUGGGAAUGCAGCUCUAAAUGGGAGGUAAAUUUCUUCUAAAGCUAAAUACCGGCCAGAGACCGAUAGCGCACAAGUAGAGUGAUCGAAAGAUGAAAAGCACUUUGGAAAGAGAGUCAAAAAGCACGUGAAAUUGUUGAAAGGGAAGCGCUUGCAGCCAGACUUGCCCGUAGUUGCUCACCCGGACUCUUGUCCGGGGCACUCUUCUGCGGGCAGGCCAGCGUCAGUUUGGGCGGUUGGAUAAAGGCCUCUGUCACGUAUCUCCCUUCGGGGUGACCUUAUAGGGGAGGCGUAAUGCAGCCAGCCCGGACUGAGGUCCGCGCUUUUGCUAGGACGCUGGCGUAAUGGCCGUAAGCGGCCCGUCUUGAAACACGGACCAAGGAGUCUAACAUCUAUGCGAGUGUUUGGGUGUCAAGCCCGGACGCGCAAUGAAAGUGAACGGAGGUGGGAACCCUCUGGGUGCACCAUCGACCGAUCCUGAAGUCUUCGGAUGGAUUUGAGUAAGAGCAUAGCUGUUGGGACCCGAAAGAUGGUGAACUAUGCUUGAAUAGGGUGAAGCCAGAGGAAACUCUGGUGGAGGCUCGCAGCGGUUCUGACGUGCAAA
rnacentral:rRNA from 1 species